AUAUCAAUAAGCGGAGGAAAAGAAACCAACAGGGAUUGCCUUAGUAGCGGCGAGUGAAGCGGCAAAAGCUCAAAUUUGAAAUCUGGCGCCUUCGGUGUCCGAGUUGUAAUUUGAAGAUUGUAACCUUGGGGUUGGCUCUUGUCUAUGUUUCUUGGAACAGGACGUCACAGAGGGUGAGAAUCCCGUGCGAUGAGAUGCCCAAUUCUAUGUAAGGUGCUUUCGAAGAGUCGAGUUGUUUGGGAAUGCAGCUCUAAGUGGGUGGUAAAUUCCAUCUAAAGCUAAAUAUUGGCGAGAGACCGAUAGCGAACAAGUACAGUGAUGGAAAGAUGAAAAGAACUUUGAAAAGAGAGUGAAAAAGUACGUGAAAUUGUUGAAAGGGAAGGGUUUGAGAUCAGACUCGAUAUUUUGUGAGCCUUGCCUUCGUGGCGGGGUGACCCGCAGCUUAUCGGGCCAGCAUCGGUUUGGGCGGUAGGAUAAUGGCGUAGGAAUGUGACUUUACUUCGGUGAAGUGUUAUAGCCUGCGUUGAUGCUGCCUGCCUAGACCGAGGACUGCGAUUUUAUCAAGGAUGCUGGCAUAAUGAUCCC
rnacentral:rRNA from 1 species